rnacentral:misc_RNA from 1 species
GUGAAUCAUCGAAUUUUUGAACGCAAAUUGCACUUUCUGGUAUUCCGGAAAGUAUGCCUGUUUGAGGGUCAGUUAAAUAAAAUUCGUGUUGUUGUCGCCUUUUGUGGUGAAGCGGUGGAAAUGAGUUGUUCUUCCUUUGGUUUAGUGAACUUAAAAUUUGGCAGAUUUUUGAACGUAUUUAAAUUUUCUAAGUAAGUUUGAGA